ACGGGGUGCAGCAGGCGCGAAACCUUUGCAAUGUGCGAAAGCACGACAAGGUUAAUCCGAGUGUCUCCUGCUAAAGGAGUCUUUUGUCAGUUGUAGAAUCACUGAUGAAUAAGGGGUGGGCAAGUUCUGGUGUCAGCCGCCGCGGUAAAACCAGCACCUCGAGUGGUCAGGAGGUUUAUUGGGCCUAAAGCAUCCGUAGCCGGUUGCAUAAGUUUUCGGUUAAAUCUAUGCGCUUAACGUAUAGGCCGCCGAAAAUACUGUGCAGCUAGGGAGUGGGAGAGGUACACGGUACUCAAUAGGAAGGGGUAAAAUCCUUUGAUCUAUUGAUGACCACCUGUGGCGAAGGCGGUGUACCAGAACACGUUCGACGGUGAGGGAUGAAAGCUGGGGGAGCAAACCGGAUUAGAUACCCGGGUAGUCCCAGCUGUAAACGAUGCAGACUCGGUGAUGCAUUGGCUUGUGGCCAAUGCAGUGCCGCAGGGAAGCCGUUAAGUCUGCCGCCUGGGAAGUACGUACGCAAGUAUGAAACUUAAAGGAAUUGGCCGGGGAGCAC
rnacentral:rRNA from 2 species